rnacentral:tRNA from 1 species
GCCCCGUUCGUCUAGCGGCCUAGGGCGUCGGCCUCUCACGCCGGUAACACGGGUUCAAAUCCCGUACGGGGUACAA